rnacentral:rRNA from 1 species
GGGUUGUGAGGUUAAGCGACUAAGCGUACACGGUGGAUGCCCUGGCAGUCAGAGGCGAUGAAGGGCGUGCUAAUCUGCGAUAAGCGCCGGUAAGGUGAUAUGAACCGUUAUAACCGGCGAUACCCGAAUGGGGAAACCCAGUGUGACUCGUCACACUAUCAUUAACUGAAUCCAUAGGUUAAUGAGGCGAACCGGGGGAACUGAAACAUCUAAGUACCCCGAGGAAAAGAAAUCAACCGAGAUUCCCCCAGUAGCGGCGAGCGAACGGGGAGGAGCCCAGAGCCUGAAUCAGCAUGUGUGUUAGUGGAAGCGUCUGGAAAGGCGCGCGAUACAGGGUGAUAGCCCCGUACACAAAAGCGCAUGUGUUGUGAGCUCGAUGAGUAGGGCGGGACACGUGGUAUCCUGUCUGAAUAUGGGGGGACCAUCCUCCAAGGCUAAAUACUCCUGACUGACCGAUAGUGAACCAGUACCGUGAGGGAAAGGCGAAAAGAACCCCGGCGAGGGGAGUGAAAAAGAACCUGAAACCGUGUACGUACAAGCAGUGGGAGCACAGGUUUACCUG